UACAGAGGUCCCGAGCGUUGUUCGGAUUCACUGGGCGUAAAGAGCGCGUAGGCGGUCUGUUAAGUGUAGAGUGAAAUCUCCAGGGCUCAACCCGGAAACUGCUCUGCAUACUGGCAGACUGGAGUGAUGCAGAGGUUUGUGGAAUUCCUGGUGUAACGGUGAAAUGUGUUGAUAUCAGGAGGAACACCCAUGGCGAAGGCAGCAAACUGGGCAUUAACUGACGCUGAGGCGCGAAAGCGUGGGUAGCAAACAGG
rnacentral:rRNA from 1 species